UCCCGUGUGGCUCAGUUGGUAGAGCAUGGUGUUUGCAAUGCCAGGGUUGUGAGUUUGAUUCCCACGGGGG
rfam:Salmo salar isolate Sally breed double haploid chromosome ssa04, whole genome shotgun sequence.